rnacentral:rRNA from 1 species
CGCGGUGCAUUAGCUAGUUGGUGAGGUAACGGCUCACCAAGGCGACGAUGCAUAGCCGACCUGAGAGGGUGAUCGGCCACAUUGGGACUGAGACACGGCCCAAACUCCUACGGGAGGCAGCAGUAGGGAAUCUUCGGCAAUGGACGAAAGUCUGACCGAGCAACGCCGCGUGAGUGAAGAAGGUUUUCGGAUCGUAAAACUCUGUUGUUAGAGAAGAACAAGGAUGAGAGUAACUGUUCAUCCCUUGACGGUAUCUAACCAGAAAGCCACGGCUAACUACGUGCCAGCAGCCGCGGUAAUACGUAGGUGGCAAGCGUUGUCCGGAUUUAUUGGGCGUAAAGCGAGCGCAGGCGGUUUCUUAAGUCUGAUGUGAAAGCCCCCGGCUCAACCGGGGAGGGUCAUUGGAAACUGGGAGACUUGAGUGCAGAAGAGGAGAGUGGAAUUCCAUGUGUAGCGGUGAAAUGCGUAGAUAUAUGGAGGAACACCAGUGGCGAAGGCGGCUCUCUGGUCUGUAACUGACGCUGAGGCUCGAAAGCGUGGGGAGCAAACAGGAUUAGAUACCCUGGUAGUCCACGCCGUAAA